ACGCUCGACACCUACGGGGGCAGCAGUGGGGAAUAUUGCACAAUGGGGGAAACCCUGAUGCAGCAACGCCGCGUGAAGGAAGACGGUUUUCGGAUUGUAAACUUCUGUUCUUAGUGAAGAUAGUGACGGUAGCUAAGGAGCAAGCCACGGCUAACUACGUGCCAGANCGCGNGUNUGAGNGGCGNGNGAGAG
rnacentral:rRNA from 1 species